rnacentral:lncRNA from 11 species
AGGAGAUGACAGCUGGAUUGGUUUGACUUUCAGCAAGCAGUUAUAUCAAUAUUUUUGGGUUGAUAAUUCAUCGUCAGUAUUUCAGAAUGCAUGAUUGUGCUGCUGGAAGGUUUGGAGAAAGGUGUGAGCAUAUAUGCCAAAAAUGUGAUGAUGAUGUUUCAUGCAACCCACAUACAGGAUUGUGUGGAG